UACAGAGGUCUCAACCGUUGUUCGGAUUCAUUGGGCGUAAAGGGUGCGUAGGUGGUUGGGUAAGUUUGAUGUGAAAUCUCCGGGCUUAACCCGGAAACUGCAUUGAAUACUAUCUGGCUAGAGGGUUGGAGGGGGGACUGGAAUACUUGGUGUAGCAGUGAAAUGCGUAGAUAUCAAGUGGAACACCAGUGGCGAAGGCGAGUCCCUGGACAACUCCUGACACUGAGGCACGAAAGCUAGGGGAGCAAACAGG
rnacentral:rRNA from 1 species